UGUUUCGGCAAGGGGGUCAUCCCGACUUACCAACCCGAUGCAAACUGCGAAUACCGGAGAAUGUUAUCACGGGAGACACACGGCGGGUGCUAACGUCCGUCGUGAAGAGGGAAACAACCCAGACCGCCAGCUAAGGUCCCAAAGUCAUGGUUAAGUGGGAAACGAUGUGGGAAGGCCCAGACAGCCAGGAUGUUGGCUUAGAAGCAGCCAUCAUUUAAAGAAAGCGUAAUAGCUCACUGGUCGAGUCGGCCUGCGCGGAAGAUGUAACGGGGCUAAACCAUGCACCGAAGCUGCGGCAGCGACGCUUAUGCGUUGUUGGGUAGGGGAGCGUUCUGUAAGCCUGUGAAGGUGUGCUGUGAGGCAUGCUGGAGGUAUCAGAAGUGCGAAUGCUGACAUAAGUAACGAUAAAGCGGGUGAAAAGCCCGCUCGCCGGAAGACCAAGGGUUCCUGUCCAACGUUAAUCGGGGCAGGGUGAGUCGACCCCUAAGGCGAGGCCGAAAGGCGUAGUCGAUGGGAAACAGGUUAAUAUUCCUGUACUUGGUGUUACUGCGAAGGGGGGACGGAGAAGGCUAUGUUGGCCGGGCGACGGUUGUCCCGGUUUAAGCGUGUAGGCUGGUUUUCCAGGCAAAUCCGGAAAAUCAAGGCUGAGGCGUGAUGACGAGGCACUACGGUGCUGAAGCAACAAAUGCCCUGCUUCCAGGAAAAGCCUCUAAGCAUCAGGUAACAUCAAAUCGUACCCCAAACCGACACAGGUGGUCAGGUAGAGAAUACCAAGGCGCUUGAGAGAACUCGGGUGAAGGAACUAGGCAAAAUGGUGCCGUAACUUCGGGAGAAGGCACGCUGAUAUGUAGGUGAAGCGACUUGCUCGUGGAGCUGAAAUCAGUCGAAGAUACCAGCUGGCUGCAACUGUUUAUUAAAAA
rnacentral:rRNA from 1 species